rnacentral:rRNA from 1 species
GGUAUUGAAAUAAGAUUUUAAAUGAGUGCUAAGAGAAUGAUUAAACAAUUAAAAACUUUCUUUAAUUAAAUAAUUAAAUUUAAUUUUUUUUGGUGCAAAAGCAAAAAUAAAAUUUAGGGACAAGAAGACCCUAUGAAUUUUUAUUAUUAAUAUUAUGUAAUUAAAUUAUUAAUAAUUUAAUUGGGGUGAUAAAAAAAGAAUAAGUAUCUUUUUAAUUAUAAAAUAAGUUCCGUUUUUAGCGAUUAAAUGAAAAAAAUACUCUAGGGAUAACAGCGUAAUAAUUUUGGAUAGUUCAUAUAGAUAAAAUAGUUUGCGACCUCGAUGUUGGAUUAGGAUUCUUUUUUGGUGAAGAA